UCUCUGCUGUCAUCCUCUCAGUCUGCUAUACCAGACUCGUUUCCGUCGUCAUCUGCAUUGCUACUAAUAAACCUUUUUGCGAACUACCAUCACCUCUUACGUCUGUGUGACUAUUGUUGCAUCUGAAACUACUCGACCUUGCAUCCUUUCACAUGUUCUCUUCUAAUCGAAAUACCAACUGAUCUAGUCACAUUCUCCGAUAUUUUCUCAUUUCUCCUUUUUCGUAAUUUCAUAAACACUGAGAGUCAUUAAUUGUAAAUUCUGCACAGAGAACAACAAAUAUCAUUCCUCUAAAUCCAAGGAUCCCCCAAACAGGUGAGACAACAAUUAUUAAUCUUGACCUUUUUAUUUUAGGAUAUAAACCAUUCUAUUUUCGAGCAAUCGAGUGAGUAACCCACUUUGAUGAU
rnacentral:lncRNA from 1 species